UGUUCUUAUUUUUUGCCCCCCGCCCCGCUGUAGGUCGUUUGACCUGUGCCCGGGUGGGCUAAUUCCUGUAAAAAGAAAAAAAAGAGAAAAAAGAAAAAGAAUAGCUACUAUUACACAUGCCCUUAAACUUUGUGAAUUUACUUUACAGACUAUUUGUGAUAGUGCAGAGAAGAUCAAGGAGAGUGCCAAGAAUGGAACGUUAAUCAGUGCAUCUAAGACCUCAUAUUCCUGAAGUUUGAUUACGGAAAGAAUGUUGAGCACAUGGAUCAAACACCAAACUCAUGAAAAUGUUCCCAUCAGCAAAGGUCCUGGUAAAGGAAACUUUGUCAUUUAACAAUUUGAUGAUGAAAUUUUGAUGGCAAGGCUUCUCAAAAUCUAAAUCUUACUCUGAUGGUUUAGUCUGGCAGAGGCAAGACAUGGAGAUAUACUAUGAAGGUGAAGCCUGCAGUGGAAAGUCUGGGAUGAGUACUGAGGAUGAAGGGGUACCUGAAGAUAUAAACUCAUACUACCUUGGAGCAUUUUCAAGAAGAAUAUGGAUGUCCUUCCAAGGCAGCGAGGU